GACGAACGCUGGCGGCGUGCUUAACACAUGCAAGUCGAACGCUGAAGCUCAGCUUUUGUUGGGUGGAUGAGUGGCGAACGGGUGAGUAACACGUGAGUAACCUGCCCCCUUCUUUGGGAUAACGCCCGGAAACGGGUGCUAAUACUGGAUAUUCACUGGUCUUCGCAUGGGGGGUGGUGGAAAGGGUUUUUCUGGUGGGGGAUGGGCUCGCGGCCUAUCAGCUUGUUGGUGGGGUGAUGGCCUACCAAGGCUUUGACGGGUAGCCGGCCGGGGAGGGUGACCGGUCACGUUGGGACUGAGAUACGGCCCAGACUCCUACGGGGGGCGGCAGGGGGGGAUAUUGCACAAUGGGCGCAAGCCUGAUGCAGCGACGCCGCGUGAGGGAUGGCGGCCGUCGGGUUGUGAACCUCUUUCGCUCAUGGUCAAGCCGCAACAAUGGUUGUGGUGAGGGUAGUGGGUAAAGAAGCGCCGGCUAACUACGUG
rnacentral:rRNA from 1 species